CAACAACUGCAAUUAAAGGAAGUUUUAAUAGGGAAAAUAACUUGUGUUGGGUUUCAAGUCUAACUGCUCUAGAAAUAGAAGAAAUGUUUGAUAUAUAUAAGAGAAAGGAUCAGGGUUUUGGUUUUAACAAACUGUCUGCGACCGUGAAAAUCGUCGUGACAAUACGGUUUCGGCAGGUGCCGAUGCCGAUAUCAGCAAUCACACCUCUAAUGCUUUAA